ACCCAUAUGGUCUAGUGUUUAGGAUUUGGCGCUUUCACCGCCGAGGCCCGGGUUCAAUUCCCGGUGUGGGAA
rnacentral:tRNA from 1 species